ensembl:lncRNA
GGCCGGGCUGCGCUGGCGCGGAGGGAUUACAGCUGGAGGAAUUCUAAACAACCCGAGCCUCCUUGUCGUGGUGUUUAAGUGCAUUGUGCUCCUGUCUGAGCAGAGGAAAUCGCUGAGAGGUAUUUUGUACCGUCAGAAGGCUGUAUUUAUAAGUGGGAGAUGGUGCUGGAGCCCAUUUAUCCAACCUUCACUUCUACCUCUAAAUGAGCAGACGGUUCUACUGGGGAUUCUUUAACCUGGGGCUAAGUGGAACAGCAAGGAGUGAUCUGCCCAUGGAGCCAUAAAGUGGAAUUAAGGAUCAAGUUCUUCUGAAUCUUGGUCUUGUACUUCUUCCUACAGCCAAGUAUCUUGGAAGACUUUUCUUUCCAGUAUGAAAGCUUACCUCGGGUUCCGAUGGCAUCCUGCUCUUACCUCCAGCUCAGCCCUCACCACUGCUCUCCGCUUUUGACAUGGAACGGGCAGACACCAUUUGUGACCGUGCGAAUAUCCUGAGUCACACACUACCAGCUGGCUUUUGUGCUGCAGUUUUCCCUUCUCCCUUUACGACUGCACUCCCUAGAGGAGACCUGAACAAUUGCACUCGUCAGCAGAAGCGCAUGGUGUGCCGUGCCUGGAUGGCACCAUUGGUGGACGACCUCUGGCUGUGUCUGUGGGGUGAGUGGUCUGUGGUUCGUUGCUGUGUGUCUGCUGCUUCCGUUCCAGAGAGCAGAACGGGUGAAGGGGUACUUCAAGUGCAUUUCCAUUGUAUUUACUAGUAAAAUAUCUACAGUAUGGAGAUGGCAAUGUGAAGUCUUCAUUAAAUAAUUAUUGGGAAGGAGUGAUGACACCAGUGGUACUGUAGAAGAUAGAUAGAUAGAUAAAUUGUGUUCAAAUGAAUGAACUAAAGGCAUCUCUGAGGCUUCUAGUGAAGCCCUCACUGAGCUUUUUGAUCCAGCAGGUCUUGGCAUACAGUUGCUGGACACACCUGAGUCUGCUGCAGUUCCGUUCUGACCAAACAACAAUAUAUUAAACGCCAUUAUUCUGUCUAUGCCAUUUCUAUGUAUUCACAAAAAACAAGUUGAUUUCUUACUAAACUACUUCUAAUGUACACUGCAUAAAAUGUUAUUAGUAAAUGGCCAGCUGAUUUCAGAAGGCUAUAACAUACACAAACCAUUAACGUUUGUCCAAGACCAGAUGGGUUAAAGCAGCUCAUCCUGCAAGGCAGAGUUGUCAGUGAAAUCAAUCAAGUCUUUGUUUGGAAGCAUUUGGGACAGCCCAUACUGUGGUGGUCCUGCAAUGGAGGAGAGAUGUGGGCUGUGCUGACUCAGAAGACAGGUGCUUGUUGCAUCCAUUGGGGAAGGAGCAGUGCACCUUAGGAGCAGGAUGUGGGUUUUGGUGGGAGAAGUCUUGCAGAGCCUCUAGAAGAAAGUCAGGGAGGGAAAAAGAAGACAUGAGGUGGACUUGGAGCUGAGGACAUCCUGGUUCCUCUUACUGUGUGGGAAGCUUGUGCCAGGCAGGAUAGUGCUGUUAAUGUGACUGUUUGAAGAGAGUUGGGAAGGCAUGAGCCGUAGGUAGAGAUAGCAGCAGUCCUGAGAGGAGUUUUCGGGGGGGGACGACUGACAGCUGUUUAAAAACUCACAUAGAUGUUUACUCACUUGCUCCUGCUUGACGUGCCUGACUCAUCCAUCCCUGUCUGAACAUACCAGUUCCCAUUUUUUCUCUUCUCUCCUUUUGUUAACCUCAUCUUUCCUAUUCUUCAAGCUUCCUUUUGUAGCUGGGUUUCAUUCUGUUAGAUCCAGUUGAUUUGGCUUCUGCUCUGCCUGGGCUUUGCACCUGCUACAGCCCCAGCAAACUUGGCAGCAACCCUUCGGCUCUGCAGAGAAAACAACUGUCUAGACCAGGAACGUUCUGCCUGAUGCCCUGGACGGACCCCAGGCACUAAUCUGCAUCCACAACGGCGCGUUGUUGUGUCUGUUGCAAAAGAUGGAUAAAAUCUUUGUGGACUCCUAAUUGCACCUUUAGCCUCCUGCUGUUCUGCAUUUAUGAUCUGAUCUGCACGCUGAGUCAACGUCGCUGUAACGACAUGGAUGGAGGGCAGAGGUCCGCAGGUUUGCUUUGAGGAAGCCCCAUAAACAGGGCAGAUGUUUCUGAUGGCGAUGCCGGAGCCAGCAGAACCCCUGCAGCAGUGCAGCCCCAUGGUGCUGGAGGCCCUUCCAGACUGGAGGUGUGGCGGUGGUCUGCAUGUCAGCAGAGCAGUCCCAGCAGCGUUCAGCAUGGAUGAGGUAUUGAACGCAUCCCCGUGCCUCUGGGGGGCAACGUGGCUUCUGCUGACGUGUGAACACUCUGCUUGGCAGCCUGGUGCAGCACAUCACAGCUCAGAUGGGUUCUCCCAGGCGGCUGUGCAGCACAGAGCUAAUACAUGGAAUACAGGUGCUCGUGGACUCGUUCUGCACCGACCUGCCAGUCUGCAGGCCCCAAAAAUACAGGCACGGCCCAAAGGUUUCUAUUCAGGGCUCAGCAGUGGAAUAAGGAACAUGAGCCGUGGGAUAUCCCGUGUCACCGCAGGCUGCUCAGCCUGGAAGGGGCUGGUGGCAAAGGGAGGAAACGUCAGAAACGCCAUGGACUAUUUUAGAUCUGCAACCUCAGUUCUGCAAAGGACAGCCUGCUGAUGUGCCACGCUCAGCGAGCAGCGGGGAGGAACCCCACGGCAGGAAGAGAGGUUUGCAAGUUUCCCUUUCCCAUAGAGCACAUCCCAAACUGCUGCACGACAGCAUGCUGUGCAGUGCUGUGCUGCGUGGUGUCCUGUCAGCCUGCUGGGAGGACACGGAGUGCUCCAGCAGUGGGCAAUGUGGGAGCAGGCUGUGAGCUGCACAGCCCAGCAUACAGCACGGUGUGAGGCUGGAACUCCCAGUGCCCUCAGCACGUCUCCGUGCUGCGUCCCUGGCUGUGCAGCUCGGCCUGGAGGGCCCGGGGCUGUGAGCUCAUGGGUUUCUAUUUAUGCUUUCAUCUGGUUUUGCCUGCUUUGGACGGUUAACGUAACGCACACGCAGGGUGGUGCUUCAAGGAGACAAACAGUUGCUUCAUCUCCCUGUACAGACAGCCCUCUGCCCUUUGCGUUUCGAUUCCCGGUGUCUGUGUGUGUGGAGGUGAUUUGUCCAUAAUUGUUUGCUUUCUCCGGAGUCCUUUGAAGCGUCUGUCUCCCAACCGGUCCCCUCUUAAGAAUAAAUGCUUCCAAGCCAC